CAGCAUUCGUAAUAACCACGAGAGACUUGAGACUUGACUUGGACUCGAGCUCAAAGACUUGUGAGCAUCUCUGAUAGAGAACACUCAGGAUCUCUCUGUAGGCAUUGUGUUCCAGUGUGGCUAGAGAGCAGGUAUUUUAAGCCACCUGUCGUCCAGACCUCGUCAGCUGAAUAGCCUGUUGUGCUAAAGUUCACCACAGAGAAGGCAGUGGUGGUUGUUGAUAACCCUGAGUGGGCCUAAACGUCUGAUCCGUAAACGAGGUGGAGUCAGAGCUGGGUUGACUAUUUACUGCAUUGUUUGAGGUAAAGAUCAUCUGUCAGGUAUUUAGCAGGUAUGUUUUUGCAAUUUUAGGGUUGUAUAGCCACUGAUGCUAUUCGUGCUUGAAUUUUUAUGUCAAUUCUUAUUUUAUUAGAUUUGUUACAGGUGGAUGGGCCCCUGUGAAUGUGUUUGCCAACUGCUAAGGUCUGCUAAGGGUGUGGCUGUCUUCCCUUUUUUUGGCUGUGUGAUUUCCCUCAGCUUGUUAGCCAUUUCUUCCCCUUUUUAGUGUUCUGCCAGACGGACAGGGUGGUGGAUUGUGGGAACCCCUUUCCCCUUCACUGCAUGUGGUGGUGUGUAUGACAGCUGUGUGUGCAUGCUUAACUUAGUUUUAUUGUGUGGCAUUUGUGUGUAUCUUGCUGUGUUUAGGUGGCUGCGCACCAGUGUGAGUGGUGGUGUCAAGGCACCUGGGUGGCCCACAGGUAACCUGUGAACUCCCUCCCUGAUCUUUUGCCUGUGCAUUUAACACUAGAACCGAUAACGGGUCAAAUUUACCCGCAGCUGUUUUUUUGGUUGUAUGUAUCUUUGUUUCAAUAUAAUAUUCAAGUCCCCCAGUCUCUGGCUUUUCCUAAAAGUGUGUUAUGUAGCACCCCCUGUUGUUAAGAAAUGUCAAGAUAAAGCCCGAUUUUAAAAAUGGGCAUUUAUACCUUUAAGCAAUUUAUAAAAUAAAGUCAUUUUAGCUCAUGUCGUGCGUUUAGAUAAACAUUCUUUGUUGCUAUUGGCAACGCCUUUCCCACUACAGACACACACACACACACACACAC